CAGGACCCCAGGAUCACGCCCUGAGCUGAGGCAGAUGCCCAACCACUGAGCCACCCAGAAUUGUAUGCAGUUCUCAUGGUGCCUCUGAGACAGCAGGAGCCCCUAGAGCUGCUCUGGAGAAGCUCAAGAGAUGUAUCCAGGUGGACUGGAUCUGAAGGGCUUGAAAGGGAGUGCUUUUGAAGGAUCUCAGAGAUUUGGAUGGCCCUCCUUGUCCACGAGGCCUCACUGGAAGAAUACUCAGAGAGGUCUUCCUUCAGAGUAUCAGGGGAAGACAAAGGGACAUGGUCUUGUGAUGAGGCCGGGAGAGGAGGGAUCCGUCACCAGGGCAACCGGAACGCCCAGAAAUCUCCGUGGCAACAGCACUGGUCUGCAGAGGAGACUGCAUUGGAUCCAGAGGGGACGAGCCUAGAGGGCUCACUUCUUCUAAAGGGGUUUGCGGGACCUCUGUGAGAGUGUUUGGGUAGUUUGUUGACAUCUGUGGGGACAACCGUAGGUGUCUGGGUUUGUGAGGGUCCCUGUAGGGUUCCUAUGAGAUGUGUGUGGCUCGAUCAGUGGGGGAGCAGUGAGGACCGGAGGUUGGCAUCGCGGCUCCGAGGUCGGGGUGAGAAAGGCAGGGGGUCGAGGAGCUGGGGCUGGGGCGGAGUCUGUCCUCGGAGGCCCGCAGAAUCAAGUUGAAGACCAAUAGGAUGGGGCAGGGGGUGGGCUUUACCGACAAGAACCAAUCGAACUGAUAGAGGGGCGGAGCGUCAUACUAACGUCAGACAGAGGCCGCCGCCGCGGGGCCUGGUUAUCGCCGGUCCAGCGCAGCCCGGAGUCGCCCAGGCCUGAACUCCUACCCAGGUCCCCGGCCCGGCCUCAGCCGGCCUGACCCCGGCCCCGGGCCCAC